rnacentral:lncRNA from 1 species
GAGAGCGGCGGCGCUAGGCGGGAGGACGCGCGGGAGGCAGAGGGGCUGGGAGAGCUUAGCCCGGGCCACCGAGCGCCAGCACGUCACGACUGCUCCAAACCCUGCACGUCCCGGGAGCUGCGCUUUCUGCGUCUGGGAGAAUUCACCUGUGAAGCUCUCUGGUCCUGAACUUUUGUUUGUUAAGAUUUUUGGAUUUCUCAUUCAGUUUCAUUACCAGUGCUGCCAGACGACAGAUAGCUGGCCCAUUUGGCUUACUCACCAAGACUUUCUCCUCCUGUCUUUUGCUCCACUGCAUUUAGAUCUUUUAUUAACAUCUAACUAUAGCAGCCUUAUGUCUCUGGACUGCAAAAAGAAUUACUCUUGGAGAGGUCUGGAAUUUGUUCCAUUAUAUACUGGAAUAGGGCCAAAGGCUGACUACUUGAUUCUGAGUCUAGUGACAGAUUUAGUAUCUGCUUUCUCAAGAAGCCAAGAUAUUUGAAAUAUGUCCAAAGCCUGUCCUUAUUCCCUAUAAUCUGAUAUAUUAUUAUAACUUGAAAUUUCACCCAUUAUCUUCUGAGUUUGACAACAAUUGGUAAUAUUGAAUGAGAUUAUGUGAGAGUUCACAUACACCUUAAAGAGAGGGAAAACAACAAAGAAUCUUUUCUCCUUAUUUGGUUCAUUAAAACAAACAAACAAAAAAAUAACUCUAAGGGAGGGGUUGCAGAAAUUAUGAUGAAAUAUUAUUGUGGGGUCACUAUUACUAUUUUCAGAUCUGUGUUAGUAGGAAAAUUAUGUCAAUAGAAACCCAGGGUUAAAGAGACCCCCUAGAGUCUACUAUUUAUAUUUACACAAUCAAUUUUACUACAUACUAGGCACAGUGCUAGGUACUUUAUGUACAUCAGUCUAUAUGCUAAGUUUGUAAAUUAGAUUAUCUUCUUCCAUUUUUUGUACAGGGGAAAAUUGAAGGUUAGAUAUAUUAGUAACUUGGGCAAGUAACAUUCUCAUGAACAAUGUGCUAGUAAGGGUAGAAUAGAAAUUCAUUAUUUUUUGUUAUGAAUUUUCCAUAUCAUAUCUCCAUAGUAACAAAAGGUGUGAAUUUUCCACAUCACAUCUCCAUAGUAACAAAAGGUGAGAUGGGAAUCUUCCUUUAGAGAUUAUGGAGCAAAGUUCAGGGAAUAUAGUUAUCUCCCUUCAAAUGAAGCUACUAGGCUAGAGAAUUUGACCACAAACAUACAGAUAACUAAGGAUUUGUGCAUUGUAUGGAUGCUGGCCAAACAAAGCCCUGAAGAAUUGGUGGUAGUGGUGUUGUCAAUAUAGAGAAAGAACUGAUGGGAGGAGGCGGCCCAGAGUUAGAAGGUCAGUCCUAUUCAACAGUGACACCCACAGUCUGUCAUAUACUCUUCUCUACAAAUAUAAACCAUUGUCUCAGAUUUUCAGUAUUUUAUAGCACAUUAUAUAAGCAUAGUGAAAUGGUUAAUUUUAUGUGUGAACUUGACUGGGCCAUGGAGCAUCCAGAUAUUUGAUCAAAUCUUAUUCUGGAGGUUUCUGUGAGGAUUAACAUUUAAAAUGGUAGACUAAAUUAAGCUCACUUUCCCUAAUGGGGUUCAUUUGUGUGGGCUUCAGCAAAUUAGCUAAAAGCUUGAAUAGAAAAAAAGACUGAUUAUCUCCUGAGGAAGAAAGGAUUCUUUCUACUUGACUGCCUUUGUUUUGAAACUGCUUUUUUCUCAUUUUGAACUUGGGCAUUGGCUCUUCCUGGGUCUCCAAUCUGACAGCCUUUAGACUAGAGAUACACCAUGGACUCUCCUGAUUCCCAGGCUUUUGGACUCAGACUACAACUGUACUAUUGGCUUUCCUUGGCUCCAGUUUGACCCUUCACCCUGUAGAUCAUGGGACUUGUGUGUGCACAACCUCUUGGUUAUGUUUCUCUGAAGAACCCAAAUACAUAUAUGGUUGUUUACUUUUUUCUGUUUUUAGUAUACAGAGUAAUAGGUUUGUUAUUACUCUGAUUUGGAAGAAUAUAUUUUUAAAUAUUUAAUUCAAAUAAUAAAGUGUGAUGAAAC